rnacentral:rRNA from 1 species
GACGAACGCUGGCGGCGUGCUUAACACAUGCAAGUCGAACGGAAAGGCCCUGCCUUUGUGGGGUGCUCGAGUGGCGAACGGGUGAGUAACACGUGAGUAACCUGCCCUUGACUUUGGGAUAACUUCAGGAAACUGGGGCUAAUACCGGAUAGGAACUCCUGCUGCAUGGUGGGGGUUGGAAAGUUUUGGCGGUUGGGGAUGGACUCGCGGCUUAUCAGCUUGUUGGUGGGGUAGUGGCUUACCAAGGCUCUGACGGGUAGCCGGCCUGAGAGGGGGACCGGCCACAUUGGGACUGAGAUACGGCCCAGACUCCUACGGGAGGCAGCAGUGGGGAAUAUUGCACAAUGGGCGGAAGCCUGAUGCAGCGACGCCGCGUGCGGGAUGACGGCCUUCGGGUUGUAAACCGCUUUCGCCUGUGACGAAGCGUGAGUGACGGUAAUGGGUAAAGAAGCACCGGCUAACUACGUG